rnacentral:rRNA from 1 species
UACGAAGGGGGCUAGCGUUGCUCGGAAUCACUGGGCGUAAAGCGCACGUAGGCGGAUUGUUAAGUCAGGGGUGAAAUCCUGGAGCUCAACUCCAGAACUGCCUUUGAUACUGGCGAUCUUGAGUCCGGGAGAGGUGAGUGGAACUCCGAGUGUAGAGGUGAAAUUCGUAGAUAUUCGCAAGAACACCAGUGGCGAAGGCGGCUCACUGGCCCGGUACUGACGCUGAGGUGCGAAAGCGUGGGGAGCAAACAGG